AGUACAGCUGUCCUUUGGAAAGGCUGCUUAGUAUUUUCUGGUGUUUUAAAGCCUGAGGGAGGUUGCACACCUGCGAUUCUUUCUCAGGGACCUGGUACAGCCUGUUCAAGCAAACAUCUCCAUGGGACAUUAUCUCAGACAUCCUUUACAUUUGGAAAUGGACAAGGGAGAGAUGGAGCAAUGCCAAAGUCCCACAGAAGAGAAACCCAUCUCCAAGGGAUCAGUCCCAGCUUGAAACAAGUCACACUGUAUCAGCUGCUCUACUACAGUGGACUUCCAUGUCGGGUCCCUGGGAGAGGAAGACCCAGGCUAUGGAUUUUGUGACUUCCAGGGGGCCCAGGAGAGACUCAUGCUGCCAAGUCACAGCCCAAUCUUUUGCUACUGAGUGUCCAUCACCGAGGGUAAUUUCAGUCCAAAGGCUGGGACAUGGACCAAGACAGCAUUUGAUUCUACUACUGCAAAUGGUAAGAUAGAGAGUUCAAAUUCCAAAACUAAUAUCCCCAUUUACACUGUAUUUAUUGAGAU
rnacentral:lncRNA from 1 species